CUAAGGAGACUGCCGGUGACAAACCGGAGGAAGGUGGGGAUGACGUCAAGUCAUCAUGGCCCUUACGGCCUGGGCUACACACGUGCUACAAUGGUCGGUACAAAGGGUUGCCAAGCCGCGAGGUGGAGCUAAUCCCAUAAACCGAUCGUAGUCCGGAUCGCAGUCUGCAACUCGACUGCGUGAAGUCGGAAUCGCUAGUAAUCGUGAAUCAGAAUGUCACGGUGAAUACGUUCCCGGGCCUU
rnacentral:rRNA from 1 species